AGGGAUAUAACUCAGUGAUGGAGUACUUACCUGUUAUGUACAAGGCUUGGGUUCGAUCCCCAGCACUCCCUA
rnacentral:tRNA from 1 species